rnacentral:rRNA from 1 species
CGAAUAGGGGCGAAAGACCAAUCGAACCUCCUAGUAGCUGGUUUCCGCCGAAAUUUCCCUCAGGAUAGCGGCCAUCGCGGAAACGUUUUGACCGGUAGAGCGAACGACUAGAGGUACCGGGGCCGUAACGGCCUCGACCUAUUCUCGAACUCCGAACGGGCAAGGAGCCGGGGUCGCCCGAUCGGACCCCGGACGUGAAGUCGACGAUGGUCGGUGGGCUGGUUUUGGUAAGCAGAACGGGCGAUUCGGGAUGAACCGGAAGCGGGGAGAAAGGGCCCGAGAUUGCGUCGACGCGGAUCCCGAAAAGGGCGUCGAUCCGUCGCGACAGCGGGACGGUGGUCAUGGAAGUCGAAAUCCGCUAAGAAGCGUGUAAAAACGUACCCGCCCAACGGAUCGGCCCCGAAAAUUGAUG